CUAUCAUCGAGUUUAUAUAUCUGUAUCUCAAUUUAAUUUUGCAUCUUAGAGACAUUUUCUGGUGUGGCAAAUGCUCAUAUGAUUAUUAAUAUAAUAUAAUGAUUGUAUUUAGAGAAACUCAGUUGUGUGAGUGUAUAUAAACUUUGAAAUCAUAGACAAAAUAAGGGUAUUUAUAUUUUUGGGUCUGAUUUAAAUAUUCUGUGUCUGAUUUUAGCAUCUACUCUCCUUGUUCAGGGCUAGCACUACUAUAGAAAUAGUGAGAAUGAAAUGAUGUCAAAAACAAGGGAUCAAUGGUCAAGUAUACUUAAAUCAUUGCGACAAAUAAAGUCUGGUAGUAAAUUAAAACAAGGGAUCAAUGGUCAAGUAUCAAUUUACAUAAAUUACUACAAUUCUCUGUACAUGGUUACAUUCUGCAGUAGCUGGCUUCAUUAAAAGGAAGAGAUAUUCACAUGUAAAUUUGUUUUAUACUUUUAAACUCCCUUCAGACUACAUAAGUGCAUAUAUAAUUUGUGAUAUAUUGUUUGUUAUGUUUACAUUGACUCUUCUAAGGAUUUAUUGACAUAAUUUUAUUUUACAUUUUGCAUCUAUUGAACAUUUGGCCCUAAGGAUUGGGGUUUUUACUAUCGUAUGCUGUAUGUCUUCUUGGUCAUGCUUUUGUUCCAAGCUGCUGAAUAUGUGGUCACCAGAAAUAGCUUUGUAUCAAACCAGUAAUAACAUAUGGAAUUCUAGAAUGCUACACGCCAAACCAGAUACAUUAUUAAAACGCAAGUUCUUUUUUGUUCAGCCAAUUAUAGCUAUUUGUUUGUACAUCUAUGUGUUUGGAGCACAGAUGGAUGGGAAAAACAAACAAGUAGACAAUUGCAAAUUCCGGCAGGUCGGGCUGCAGCUCCCCUUGCUGAUUCCCGUGUGCAAUUUCACCAGCAUCAGACCCAUCUGAUAGCAGUCCAUGAAACACAGAUAGCAAUAUAUGAAGCACCUAAACUUGAAUGCCUCAAGCAGUCGGUUCCAUGAGAAGCAAGUGGUCCAAUCACACAUGCUACAUAUCUUGUGAUAGCCAAUCCAUAUAUCUGAGCUUUGAAGAUGGAAGUGUGGAAUGAGCAAGAUUUGAAGAGAAAGGCGGAAGCAGGUUAAUCGUGAAUCUGCAAGGUCAGGGCUGAGAAAACAGGAAGGGACCAUGAAGAACUUGCAAUAGAAGUAGACUCUUUUAACUGCUGAAAGUAUGACACUUAUGCCGAAAUUAACCGAUCGCCAGUGACUGCAGAGAAACUAACAAUUGAUAACUUUAGAUUACUGGAGGUGAUGAAAAAUGCGUAGGCAGAACAUGCAUCAAAUGUAGGUUUAGAAAACAAUAUUCAAAAGAAGGCAUCAACGCUUAGUAGUACAAACCUACUCUUUAGAGUUGACGGUGCAGGCUGUGGUGCUAGAAAUGAAAGAGAAUGUGAGGUGAAUGAGAAGAUGACAAAGUUUGUUACAAAAUUUCACAAACUGCUUGAUGCUAGCCUCUGGGCGGAUGAUGUUGUUGGCUAAUCAGUUGUCGCUGGUAUUGCAACCUACAUUCAGCUGACUUUUAAGCAAAGCCCGCAGUCUUGACAUAAUUAUAAGCCCAAAAUUACUGCUAAUAGUAGCAUUUGAGCAUUGAAGUAAGGGUAAUUUAAUAAGAGAAGUCCAAGCAUUUAAUAUUUACUCUGUUUUUAAUUUUUCCUUGGAAAAAUGUAAAGUGUGACUUUCAAGGUCAGGGGCAACGUGAUAAGAUGAUGAAUAUAAGUUUGUAGAUUGAAGAGAAACAAGUAGAUGUUCAUUAAUCAUGAUACUGAGACCAAUAUGCAUGGUCUAUUACUUAUUAA